GACGGAGGAUGCAAGUGUUAUCCGGAAUCAUUGGGCGUAAAGCGCGCGUAGGUGGCCUCAUAAGUCCGCUGUGAAAGUCAAAGGCUCAACCUUUGAAAGCCGGUGGAUACUGUGAGGCUAGAGUACGGAAGAGGCGAGUGGAAUUCCUGGUGUAGCGGUGGAAUGCGCAGAUAUCAGGAGGAACACCAAUAGCGAAAGCAGCUCGCUGGGACGUUACUGACACUGAGGCGCGAAAGCGUGGGGAGCGAACAGG
rnacentral:rRNA from 1 species